AUGGACACAAAAGUAGAAGCUGAACCAAAUACUGCUCAUAGCAUUUACAGUGAUACUUCUAAUUAUCGAGACAGACUGAGUAGUCCACGUGUCAGCUCCUGCUGCUUUAGUGUCUCAUGUCACGUUUUUCUCGUCUCUCCUUUCUCUGCUUCGGCGUGGCCUUUCUUGACUGUCUUUGUCUUGAUCUUUCUCCCUCUCCUUGUCCUUGUUUUGGCCUCUUUCAUUCUCUCUGUUCCUGUUUCUGUCUUUAUCUUUGUCACGCUCCUUGUCUUUCUUGUCUCUCUCGCGCUCCUUGUCUUUCUUGUCUCUGUCGCGCUCCUUGUCUUUCUUGUCUCUGUCUCGCUCCUUGUCUUUCUUGUCUCUGUCUCGCUCCUUGUCUCUGUCUCUGUCUUGCUCCUUGUCUCUGUCGCGAUCCCUGUCUCUGUCGCGAUCCCUGUCUCUGUCGCGAUCCCUGUCUCUGUCGCGAUCCCUGUCUCUGUCGCGAUCCCUGUCUCUGUCGCGCUCUCUGUCUCUGUCGCGAUCCCUGUCUCUGUCGCGCUCCUUAUCUCUUUUGUCCCUAUCACGCUCCCUGUCGCGCUCCUGGUCCCGGUCGCGUUCCUUGUCCCGAUCGCGUUCCCUGUCACGGUCGCGUUCCUGGUCCUGGUCGCGUUCCUUGUCCCGGUUACGCUCCAUAUCUUGGUCGCGCCCCUUGUCUCUGUCGCGGUCCUUGUCUCUGUUGCGGUCGUUGUCCCGGUCGCGCUCUUUGUCCCGGUCACGCUCUCUAUCUUGGUCACGCCCCUUGUCUCUGUCGCGCUCCUUGUCUCGGUCGCGCUCCUUGUCUCGGUCGCGCUCCUUGAGUUCCUUGUCCCGGUCGCGAACAUUGUCCCGGUUGCGCUCCCUGUCUCGGUCCCUGUCGCGCUCUCUGCCCCAGUCUUUUCCACGAUCCCUGUCACGGUCUCGCUCUCUGCUUCUAGAUUUUUCCUGGUUUUUAUCUUGCUCUCGUUUUCUGUCCCUGUCAUUCUCUCUCCGAUCAGAGUCUCUUGGCAUGUCUCUGUCCCUUUCCCGAUCCCUCCACAUGUCUGUGUCCUGAUCCCUGUCAGAGUCUCGCUCUCUGCUUCUAGAUUUUUCUUGGUUCUUAUCUUGCUCUCGGUUUCUGUCUUUGUUCCUGUCAAUCUCUCUCCGAUCAGAGUCUCUUGGCGUGUCUCUGUCUCUUUCCCGAUCCCUCCUCAUGUCUGUGUCCUGAUCCCGAUCCCACCUCAUGUCUGUGUCCUGAUCCCUGUGCCGCUCCACCUCUGGUUCUCGGUGUCUCUCACCAUCACUCCCUCUGCUGCGUUCCCGUUCUCGGCUUUUUACUGGGUCCCGCUCCCUCUCCCGUUCUCGGGAUUUGUCCCACUCUUGUUCUCGGCUCCAUCUCAUUCCCUGCCGGGCUGGGUCCCAUGA
rnacentral:lncRNA from 1 species